GUUUUAAAAAAAGAGGAUCCUCCCUUGACCACUGAAGAUCAGAGCCUCCAGAGCAGCCAACGUCGCUUCAUCCCAUCAUUCCAGGAGCCUAAAGUGUGCAUGAGAAACGACCACAUGUAAGCAAAGCACCCUUUGAGAUGGCACACUGAGACAUUAACUCAUAAGAAGAGCAGUGCUUCUCAAGGAAACUACGUAAGAAAGCUAAGUAAGAAAGUGGUAAACAGAAAGCCCAAUCAAGGAUAAUAAUAAUAGUAAUAUUUAGAGAGAGAGAGAGAGACUAGGCAAUUAUGUGAUACAUUUGCCUAUAUAGAAAAUAAUAUUGGGGGCAGCCCAGUUGCAUAGUGAUUACGUUCAUGCACUCUGCUUCAGUGGCCUGGGGUUCAUCAGUUCAGAUCCUGGGCAUGGACCUACACACCACUCAUCAAGCCAUGCUGUGGCAGCAUCCCACAUAGAAGAACGAGAAGGACUUACA
rnacentral:lncRNA from 1 species